rnacentral:rRNA from 1 species
UACGUAGGGUGCGAGCGUUAAUCGGAAUUACUGGGCGUAAAGCGUGCGCAGGCGGUCUGUUAAGACCGAUGUGAAAUCCCCGGGCUUAACCUGGGAACUGCAUUGGUGACUGGCAGGCUUUGAGUGUGGCAGAGGGAGGUAGAAUUCCACGUGUAGCAGUGAAAUGCGUAGAGAUGUGGAGGAAUACCGAUGGCGAAGGCAGCCUCCUGGGUCAACACUGACGCUCAUGCACGAAAGCGUGGGGAGCAAACAGG